rnacentral:rRNA from 1 species
CCUACGGGAGGCUGCAGUGGGGAAUAUUGCACAAUGGGGGAAACCCUGAUGCAGCAACGCCGCGUGAGUGAAGAAGUAUUUCUGUAUGUAAAGCUCUAUCAGCAGGGAAGAAGAUGACGGUACUUGAGUAAGAAGCCCCGGCUACCUACGUGCCAGCAGCCGCGGUACCACGUAGGGGGCAAGCGUUAUCCGGAUUUACUGGGUGUAACGGGAGCGUAGACGGUGAGACAAGUCUGAAGUGAAAGCCGGGGGCUCAACCCCGGGACUGCUUUGGAAACUGCCGGACUGGAGUGCGGGAGAGGCAAGCGGAAUGCCUAGUGUAGCGGUGAAAUGCGUAGAUAUUAGGAAGAACACCAGUGGCGAAGGCGGCUUGCUGGACAGUAACUGACGUUGAGGCUCGAAAGCGUGGGGAGCAAACAGGAUUAGAUACCCGAGUAGUC